ensembl:lncRNA
CCCAUAUUAGUAUACUAUAACUCCACGUACAGCUUACAUAAAACUAGUAAAAAGGUUUGUGGAUGUGGCCCAGCCGGAAGGCACGGACGGGGUUCGAACCCGCGAUCUUCGGUUUACGAGACCGACGCCUUACCACUUGGCCACCGCGCCUAGCAGUGUAGGUGGGUCGCGUUGAUAGUUUAAAAACCUUUCACUCUUACUGCGAAGCCCUGGUUAGAAUAUUCAAUAGUUUGACUUUCAUCGCAGAAAACGUGCCGGAUGCAGCUUCUCACUCAUGUGGAAAUCAGCACAAUACACAUAAGACCGCUUAUCGGCAGACGUCAGGAGACGGGUAGCCCGAGCAGCCACAUCCGUGUCUUCGCGUUCGGCCCCGUGACGCGCUGCCGGUGUGGAUCUCGGUCGCGAGCUCCCCCGGAAGUAAGGCAAGCGGCUGACGGCGGACAGGAUUUCAACGUUCCCCCGGAAACAUGUUUACAACUGAGGUUCGACGGUGACGCGAGGGCCGCAUGUUCCUUCAUCGGAGGGUGCGACGACUGCGCGACCCUCCCCGUGGAUGAAGGAGCUGCUGCUAGUCUGACCCCCCCCCUGUCUGCCUCACCAUGCCGCUGGUGUUGGACGCCGUGUGGGCGCUGUGGAGCAUUGGAGCCGGCAUCUACGACUACUUCCACACCAGCGCCAUGGAGGAGAGGAUCCACGAGCUGGAGAACGUCCUCUCCAUCCACCAGUUUGUGAUGGCGGGCCUGGCGGCGGGCCUCCUGCUGCUCGUCACCUACAUACUGUGGAGAAAACACUGAAGCGCAGAUUGUGUGGGCGCUCACACGUUCAGGACGUCCCGCGUGAGGUCGGACACCCGAUGGGACUCGAGGACUCUGAGACUAGUCCGCUCCUCUUUUGGGUUUGUCUCUGUGAUUUUGGAUGUAAAACUAAUACUUCUCAAGGGCACUUUGCACUUUGACCCCUCAAAAAAUGAUGCCAUUUUUUAAAUGUGUGCUGAUAGGCGGAGACACAUAGAAUUUUAACCUUUUGGAUUUGUUACAGAAGUUGUUUUUUUAACUCCGUUAUCCCGACAUCACAACGCAAUGACCUCGAGAUCAGUGGUGUUCUCAUGUUUCACACAUCGGGCUGCUCAGUAGUGCUCAUUAAUUUAUCUCAAUGUGGAAGUGACGGGCAUCAGGUCAUGUGACUUUCUUGCUGAGCCUCUUUCAUCAGGAGACUGUUAACUUUUAAAACUUUAGCUCUGUAAAGUUGGCUUGAAAACAAAACACAAAUGGGUUCUGCAGACGGCCUCAUGAUUUAAUCCAAAUAUUGCUUUCCAUAACUAUUCACUUUCUGGGGUUAAGCACUACCGUGGAUUCCGUUAACAGGAAUAUGUUUAAAUAAUAAAUCAUUACUGGCGUUCAAGCUGUGUGUUUUAAUAAGGACCCUUUUGUUUCCGUCAAGAAUAACAAGUUAGUUUUUGUGUUAAAUAAUUCAGAUUGACGACAACUUUUAAAGUAAAAAAAAGUCAUUCCAUUUUGGAAUUUAAACAAAUAUUUUACAUUAAAUGGGACGAUAAGUAGCAGAAGAUCAGUAUCGUAUAAACUACAGGAACAAGGCUGUGGCGAAGGCAUUAUGUUCAUAUUCAUAUAUGAAUGCUGGGGUAAUAUCUGCAUAAAUCUAGUACCAUUGUUACAUUCAUUCUUGGGCAUUACCAUUAUUCUGUUGAAAUCAUUUAUUCUAGUGGAAUGCAUAGUUGUAUUACAAUAAUGCCAUUUUCUACAAAAACUUCCUUUUUACAGUAAUUUGUUUUACUCAUUGUUUUAUAACCUUUUUGUGAGUUGUAGACGCGUGUUUGCUGACGCUGUUUUGUUUAUGUUGUGCGUUUUCAAUGUGGUUUAUAUUAUUUGAACAAACAAAUAAUGUGAAUUUACAGGUUUUUUUCGAUUGCUAAACGACAGCCGGCACAACUGGAGUCACAUGUGCAAAACUCUGACUCCAGUCUGCACAGCAGCCGUUCAUGAGGACCAAACUCUAGUUCGCUUUUGUCGUCUUCAUUGCUUGAACACAGUUUUCAAAACUCAACACACUUAUCCCAUGACGUCUCCACAACCUGCACAACACUGUGGAUUUACAGCACUUUGUUCAAAUGCAACACACUGCUGUCAAAACUGUGAACCACACAUUAAAAAAGGAAUGUGCCUUUAAAACACUGAUGAUUCUAUUCAGCUGAAAGGCUGAGCGGGUGACUUGUUAGUGAACACACACACAUAUAUAUUAUCCAUCCAUUGUCAAACCGCUUAUCCUGCACACAGGGUCGCGGGGGGGCUGCAGUCCAUCCCAGCCAACUUCGGGCAAUAAUAUAUUAUAUAUAUAUAUAUAUAUAUAUAUACUGUAUAUAUUAUAGGUAGAGCUCAGAAAGACUCAUUCUGUAAAUGGAAGAAGGAAGACGGGUUGGUGGAGGGAGACAAAGAAGACAAAGAGCUGUUAUUUCAGAUGGAAUAAGGCUUCACUUAUAGACCAUGUGGUGAACCACGUCUCUCACUGAGAGCGUUGAGGGUGGAACCCGAUCUGCAAACAUCCACAGUGGCGUCUGUGAUGCAACUUCUCCAUCACACAAACAGGUGAGAGGAGUUUCUCUCUGCCUGGAGGUGGAAGGUGUUUGGUCUCCACCCACAUGUCCAGAUGUCUCUUUGGGAAGCCGGAUGUGAAGACACGAGUCCAGAGGACGGCCAGGGAUGGAUGAGGCUUCCAGAAGGUUCUUCCCCAGGUUGAUGGAGAGAGAACAUCAGAUGUGAUGGUGAUGAGAACCUGUGUCCUGAUGCUAGAGAGGCAGGAUCAGCCCCUUAAUUAUUUGUUCACAUUACAGUCUGUACUUUUAGUUUCUACCUUUUUUUUUCUCAUUACUGUAAUUCCGUAAAUUACUACAAACUAUUGAAGCAAACUUCAAAUUUUUAUUUACCUUAAAGAAUUAUGUUCUAAAAAUGUUAAUAAAUCAUGUGAAAGAAUGUCA